rnacentral:lncRNA from 1 species
CGCAGCACAGGAAUGGCUGCUGGCAGUGGGAUUACAACUACAGCUAUUCUAAUUCGGGGAGCAGCAUCAGGCAGGUCGAGAUGUGCCAAGAGAAACAGUAGUUUGGAGGUAGUUUCUGUUUUUUGUUUUUAAUCCCUAUCAGUGGUGCCCUGGACAGCAGUGCUCCAGAAGAGAGCCAAAGGGGAGAGAGCAUCACCCCCUGCUUGUCAGACAUCCACAGCCGAGCUGGAAAUUUCGAUGCCAAAGCUGCCAUCCCGCAAGCAGUGAGGAUGUCCCAUUUCUGCACCUGUCGUCCCCAUUUGCACACCUUUAGGAUGUGGGCAGGUGCCAUUGCCCAGGCCGUGCGGCUCUGACAAGGGAGGCUGGGGGAGGCAGGAUGGAGCUGAGGUCAGCACUAAGUUUCUCCCCCACGGAAAGAUAUGGCCUUGAGAACACGUGUGGAUUGGUUGUUCCUCAGCCCACCUCCAGCACCUCGCAAGCAGAAACUGAUCCCCUCCAGCCCGCUACAGAGGUAUCGGGCAAGGCAGAGCAGUGGAGGAGUGCCAUGCUUGGGCUCUCCCUGGCCAGCCAAGCAGUACUGCAGUGUGGGUCCCACACUGGCAGAGCCAUGGCUACAGCGAGGGCUGCAUGUGCCAGAGCCCUCUGUCUGGCAUCUUUCCCAAAUCAUAAAUUCUCUUAAAAAAAAAAAAAAAAAAAAAAACCUCCCAGAAAAUAAAACAAAAAAUAUCAGGCAGCAUAAUCUUAAUUGUACAUUCUGCUUUUCUCUUCAGUCCAAAAUAAUGGAAAUGGCAUUAAUACAGUGCUGCACUGAGCAUGUACCCGCACAGGGGCCGAAGGACUGCCUCUGCUUUUUGAAAGGUAGGGGCACAGCCUCUGGCAAGGCAGAGCAGGGCUUAAGCAGUGAGCAGGAGCAAUGAACUUCUGCUGUUCCCUGCUGCUUGAGCGUGGGCAAAAUAAAAGACCAUAAUAUAUGAUGCAGUCAGCCAAGAAAGCAAUAUUGCUCUGCCAUGUGCACGCUUUAUACUGAGACGCGUCCAGGAUCUCAUUUCAAAAUUCCCAUAGGUGCCUCAUUUAAGCCAUCAGCCAUAACCUGCUUCUCAUUUUCAAUACCACUUGGUAUUAGAGCUGCAGCGAACCGCUGGUGAGAGAUUCUAAUUCCUGCAAACAAGCCCCUGUAGGCUUGCAAGGAAAACAGAGAGUUCCCCUCUCAGUUGCCUGCUAGGUUCCCAUCUGGCUGUUUUAACUCUGCGAUUGCUUUUAAAUGUGCCUGUUUCUGCACACGAGGCUUUCAGCUCUACCUCAAGAGACUCCAGGGUUCUCUUAGCAUCAGAUUUUGGCCAAAAUGUAGAGACACGGAUUGGGUCUUCUUAACAAAAAGGAAGAUCAGGUUUCACAUUACAGUAUCUGAAAGAUUAAUUUCACUUACAUGAUCGUUUCCCUGUGAACUAUACUUCUUUCCAUCUGGAUUUUUCCAUCAGGAGGACAAAGAGCCAUAGUGUGAAGCACUACCUGUGAGAAAAGAGGGGAAAAGACGACUGCAGAGUAGCUCGAUCAGAGAAAAGAGAUGGAAAAACGGGAGAGACAGCAAUUUAAAAUGCUUCAGUGGGCCCAUUUUUGUUUGUUUUUCAUGUGAAUUAUAUUCUGACCUCAUGCUUUAGUAUUGCAAACCACCUAAUUUGCAGGGUUUUGUUUCAGUGAGUUCAGGAUAUUUGGCUGCAGAAGUUUUCAGGGUCAUGUUACUGUUACCCAGUGUUUGCCUUAUCAUGGAAACAACAGGUCCACCCCAAACCAGCAGUCCUGCUGUUCCUGAAGCCACAACCACCUUGUGUCACUGAAAGACACCUGUCACUCCCCAGGCUGUCGCCACAGCCACCAGCAGAGCCUUGCCAGCUGGGAAGGUGCAGGGGACGUGGUGGCGGUAGGGCAGGACCUGGGGGCCAGCUGCUGCCCUGUGAUGGGCUGGCUCCUCUUGGGAAGUGGGAUAGUUCAGCUUCUACAACUCAGUUCUGGCCUUAGGAGGCAUGGUAAUACUACUGCAGAAUGGCAGCAGGCCCUCCUCAUGCUGCAGGAGUGAAAACGAAAGAUGCUUGGUUAGUUUUGUGUGUGUGUUUAAUUACACAAAACGUGUUUUCCUCAACCAGGAACAUGCCACUUUGUCUUGUUUUCAUAUUUUAAAGGAUUUUAUGCAAUGAUAAACUCAAAUUCCAAAAAAAGA